rnacentral:rRNA from 1 species
UGCCAGCCGCCGCGGUAACACGGGGGGCGCAAGCGUUAUUCGGAAUUAUUGGGCGUAAAGGGCGCGCAGGCGGUCUUGUCAGUCAGGUGUGAAAGCCCGGGGCUCAACCCCGGAUGGUCACUUGAAACAGCAAGACUUGAAUACGGUAGAGGAGAGAGGAAUUCCUGGUGUAGAGGUGAAAUUCGUAGAUAUCAGGAGGAACACCGAUGGCGAAGGCAUCUCUCUGGGCCGAUAUUGACGCUGAGGUGCGAAAGUGUGGGGAGCAAACAGGAUUAGAUA